UACGUAGGGGGCAAGCGUUGUCCGGAUUUAUUGGGCGUAAAGAGCGUGUAGGCGGCCACACAGGUCAGCUGUGAAAACUCGAGGCUCAACCUCGAGACGUCGGUUGAAACCGUAUGGCCAGAGUCCGGAAGAGGAGAGUGGAAUUCCCGGUGUAGUGGUGGAAUGCGUAGAUAUCGGGAGGAACACCAGUGGCGAAAGCGGCUCUCUGGGGGCGAUCUGACGCUGAGGCGCGAAAGCGUGGGGAGCAAACCGG
rnacentral:rRNA from 1 species